ensembl:lncRNA
CGCCCGCCGCCCGCGUGCGGGGCGGUGAGAGGCCGGCGGCGCCCGCUCCCACCACCUGUGAAGAAAUUUUCGGCCCUAUUUCCGUCUCUGUGUUCGUUGAGUUGGGUCCGAAGAGCCCCCUCCUCCUCCUCCUCCCCCCCGCGCCGCCGCACCGUUGUGUUAACGCUGGAGCGAAGGAGAAAUGGAGCGGAGCGCUCCGGGCCAUUUCUGAUGGCAGACCCCCGCUCCCAGCGUCGAGCGCUGCACCCCGCUCCUGUUUUCGCCUUUUUCUCCUCCCAAAAUGGAGCUCCGGCGGCGAGCGGGGUCUGUCCCCGCGGUGCCUGCGUGGGAUCGGUGUUUCUCUCGAGACUGAACGCCAAAAUCAAUGUUAAGGCGCGGGGAGGGCAGAGCGGCGAUUGCAUAACUAUAACGCGGAGAAUGGAAAUGGCGCUGCGCGGGUUCUGCGUGGGUCUCCCCGCAGAGCCGGGCCUCCCCCAUCACCACGGAGCCGCCAUCCGACCCUGCGCGCAGCGCGUAUCUCCCUGCGAAGCCCCUGCGAAGCAGAGGGACGGGGCUGCUCGGCCCCGUUCUGCCGCGGGGCAUUCCGCGGGUGAGGGGGCAGCGCGCAGCUCCACGCUGUGUUUCAGCCUGAGCCGAAUCUCAAAAGCUAUUGCUUUGCGUGUUGUCCAAGGGAAGAAAAAAAAAUCUCGCCUUAAAACUGUUGUUUUUAAUUUGAGGGACCGCUCCGUUUGGCUGGCCGCGGUGGUUUCUUAUUUGUGUUUAAUUGUCUGUCACCGAAAUGGAGGGGAGUGUGAGGUCUGAAUUCCCCCCCCCCGGCAAAAGAGGAAUAUUCUUCCCUCUGCCCGAGUUUCCUCCAUAGGAUUUCUUCUUAAAGUGAGUGACAGUUUGCAUUAUGUUCCGCAAAGGUCACAACCAAAAGCAGUGGGGAAGCGCACUGCAGAAAAGAUGUGGAUUUAAAGCCCUUCCCCACCUCCGCGGCCCCGGUCAAAGGGAGAACGCGGUGCGACUGUUUGUGUCGCGGCUGGAGGCCUUACGGGGAGUGUUACCAAACGUAUGUCUUACGAAAGCGGGGCCCUUGCGGAAAUCUCAUGGACAGAGCUCCGAGGUGAGCACGGCCGUAUUUUCAAAAUAGAGCGCAGCUCCGUGGCGCGAUGGGUGACCUCUGGGCUGCACUCCGGCAGCACUCUUCCCUCUGCGCCUGUCCCCACAAAACUUGGGGCUGAGGCGAGCGAGGUUGGAUUUGCGCUGCCGGGGGCUUUUGUUGCGCGCAGAGGGCAGCGGCGGCGACGGGCCGGGGCCCACGUGAAGAGGAACGCGAAGUAACGAUGCUCGAGGUUUCCCGUGUCGUCCUCACGGCGUGAGCAACAGCGGAGCGCCGGACCCGCGCGUCGGUAGUAGAAGAGCGACCUGCGCGCCUCGUGGGGUGAAUGCUCCCGCAUCCUCGGUCGGAAAUCACCGAUUUCGGGAAUAACCGCUAAUUGAACGUUAGCUUUCAAUUAAUCUCAGUGCGAAGUCGUUUAAAUGUCGGCGCAAUCACUCCGUUCCCCCUCGCUUGCCCGACGGCUCGGUUAUUUUGAUAUGCGCGGUUUUUGGAAGGACUGCGAGGCGCGCAGGGGCAGCGGCGGUGCCGUCGGGGCGGCUGAGACCGAGUGGCCGCUGCGCGGGCGCGCAGGUGGCGUGCGGAGGAGCACAGAGGGGCAGCGCGCAGAGCAGGUUGCGCGAGUUUUAGUCCGCCGGACCUCGACCCGAGCCCCACGGGCCGGGAGGAUCCCGCUCGCCCUUCCCGUGUGAAUUUUGUUUCUUUUUUUACCCCCCUUUUAUUUCCCCCUCUCCCUUUCCUGCCCACGGCGCGUCCUCCCCGAAGGUGGUGCGGUGCCGCGGUGCGCGGAGCCCUCCCGACUUCAUGACGGCGGCGCUCAUAAAGCCAUUCGCUUCUUUCCAAAGCCAUAAACAAACGUCGUGUUAGGUCAAGAUUGAUGGUGUCCAUGCAAUAAAACCGGGCCAGGUCAGGAAGGAAUAAAAUUCAAUCAGAGCGCGCGGAAUCAUUUUUCAGGGGACAGAAAGACAGAAAAGGAGACGGGGG